ACAGGUCAAGAAAAAGUAUCUGCAGCAGAUACAAAGAAGCAGAAAUGGAUCAAUAAACAGACUGUGUACGUAUGCACAUGCUUAUAUAUGACUGACUGGCGUAACCGAAUAUAUUCAGUUGCCACUGCCCUUUUGUAGGUGUGUGUUUGUAUUUACGACUCAAUUUACACCUGAAAAACAUGAGGUAUUUUCUGCUUUUAAGCAGUUUUUGUAUAGUGUACAUACAAGCAUUUUCGCAAGUGACAAAACAGUGUACGGUUAAUGUACCUUUUGGAUCGAGCAAUAAUUUCAGGAUGAAGGGUUGCUUGAUGAACGGGGUUUGCUGGAAAUAUGGAUCAAAAGUAAACUCAAAUAGACCUUGCUCGUAUUACAUGUGUGAAAGAAGAGGAAGGAGAUCUUUUGUGCGAUAUAUAGCAACCGGAUGUUUUAUGAAUGGUAUAUGCUAUACAGCUGGUCGGACAAUUGACGAUAAAAAUGACUGUGUUAAACAUACCUGCACUAAUUUAGGAGAUAGAAGAUAUGAGUGGGAAACCACACAUGCCGGUUGUAAGUAUAAGCAUGGGUGUUAUCCUGUUGGCUCGAAAAGGUUGACGAAGAAAACUUGUCUUGUUUUGCGUUGCAAGAUUAAUAAGAGUGUAGCCUUUCCUUCCUGGGAUAUAGAAGAAUAUGGUUGCUUAGAAGAAGGCGUUUGUCGGAGAAUCGGAUGGAAAGAAGUCAGAGAAAAGGAGUGUAUUGAAGCGGCUUGUGUAAAAAACGCACUAGGAUAUACUGAAUUUCAAAAGAAUGUCAUUGACACAAUUACUGAUGCAAACAAAAAGAAUUUUCUUUUCACUCCAAGGUUGCAAAUCAAACACUGGUUGUCAGAGAAUUGGUACAAUAUGGAGGGAAGAUGAAUGUUGGCGAUUUAGAUGUGAUGGAUUAAUAAAUGGAUCUCAAACUAUCACACUACUAGACGGUUGUGUUUACAAUAACAAAUGCUAUCCUUUCGGAGUAACUCAUUUAUACGGAUGUUUCUAUCUUAGGUGUAAAAAGAUAGGUGAUUCCAG
rnacentral:misc_RNA from 1 species